rnacentral:rRNA from 1 species
ACGCUUGAAGUCAGUCGCAUUGGCCAGGGAUCAACCUUGCUUUUUUGCUUGGCUUACUUUCUGGUUGAUGGGUCAGCAUCAAUUUUGACUGGUAGAAAAAGUUCAAGGGAAUGUGGCAUCUUCGGAUGUGUUAUAGCCUUUGUUCACAUAUAUCAGUUGGGAUUGAGGAACUCAGCACGCCGCAAGGCCGGGUUUUUAACCACGUACGUGCUUAGGAUGCUGGCAUAAUGGCUUUAAUCGACCCGUCUUGAAACACGGACCAAGGAGUC